rnacentral:rRNA from 10 species
GUCAAAAAUGACUCUCGGCAACGGAUAUCUCGGCUCUUGCAUCGAUGAAGAACGUAGCGAAAUGCGAUACUUGGUGUGAAUUGCAGAAUCCCGUGAACCAUCGAGUCUUUGAACGCAAGUUGCGCCCGAAGCCAUUAGGCCGAGGGCACGCCUGCCUGGGUGUCACUAA